UACAGAGGGUGCAAGCGUUAAUCGGAAUUACUGGCGUAAAGCGCGCGUAGGCGGCUUUGUAAGUUAGAGGUGAAAGCCCAGGGCUUAACCCUGGAAUUGCCUUAAGACUGCACUCGCUAGAAUCGUGGAGAGGUGAGUGGAAUUCCGAGUGUAGAGGUGAAAUUCGUAGAUAUUGGAAGAAGCACCAGUGGCGAAGGACGGACCUCACU
rnacentral:rRNA from 1 species